GUGGGUGGAAGCUCAUCAUAGAGGUCACAUGCAGGGUGCUUGUCACUCAACCAAUCACCUUGGGGAAGGUCUGAGACAAGAGCCAAUCACUGCCCUAGCAGGGUAUCACCUGACCUGGGUGAGAAAGUGCACAGAGAAUAUGGGCCAUUGUGAGUUGUCUUUACAGGAGAAACCAGCCAGAGCAGCUCUCCAGCACUACUGGUUGAUGUGACCUCACUGGCUUGGAAACAUUCAUGGCUGGCAUAUGAGUGCAAUGUGUGAGUUGGAGUACACCUCCAGAACCCAAUUCAGACUACUCUCUGCCCAC
ensembl:ribozyme RNaseP_nuc Nuclear RNase P